ACAUACGACCAUAGACUGAGGAGAACUAGGCAUCCCGUCCGCUCUGCCAAAUAUAAGCCUCAGAUCGGUAGAUUANUUAGUAGUUGGGUGGGUGACCACCAGCGAAUACCUACUGUUGUAUGUU
rnacentral:rRNA from 1 species